ensembl:lncRNA
ACUGUGAAACAAAUCUGAACUUUUCCUUUGCAGCUUGUAACUCACUUUUGGCUCUCAUUCUUAGUCCUCAGAAGAGAGGAUUUGUUAAAUUCUGGCCAAUCUGAGGUUAUUUUGCACUGUUUAGAUAGAAGUGAAGAGUCUGUUUUAUUGAGAAAACAAAACUGACUGGCAUCAUAUUGUACUUUAAAGGAGAUGCUGAUGUAUGUUUAACAUAAAGGAAAGCAGUGUAUCUGAUACAACAUUGCUUUAAAAAGUACAGAUUUUCUGAAAAUAUGUCUUUUUAACUGAACGUUGAUCCAGGCUUAUGUUUUGCUUUAAUAGAUUUUGCAUGAUUUUAGCUCUGUGGUGUGCUAGCUUUGGAUUCAAUUAAACUUUUAUUUUUAAUUCGUUUUCUCUUUAAUAGGCACAGUUAGUCAAAUAGACACAAUGACUGAAGCCUAUUGCUGCUACUUACAAAAGGCUCUUCAUAUAAAAGCUUGAAGGGGGUGUCAGAGCUGAAUCCCCUCUUAUACAGUGGCAUAGAAUCCAUUCCCAAGCCAGGUGAGAGGUUAGCUUUCAUGACUGAGCUCCAGAGAAGGUGCUCACAGUGUCUUUCUUAAAAGGGGCAGUAACAGCAGGCAAAGGCACCUUCUGGAAGUAGUUUUUUAUGGCUAGUUCAUGAGCCAAAUGUAAUUUUAAGUAUGUUUUUCUUCACAAUUGGGUGGAACUGCUCCAGCACAGAUCUGUCUCUGUCACAGCACCGUAUCCUGUACUUCUGCAGUGAAUACUUCUUCAAGGUGAAUACUAGAGAGUACAAUAGAAAUUUAGAUUGGAUUUUGCUAUUAGUUGCUAGUCUUAUAAUUUCAAAACCUGAAGUGCUAAUGCAGUGUAUCAGUUCAUUCUUCCCUUUGUCUAUAGUAAUAUACUUAUGUAGUUCUGUUUGUAACUGCGUGAACUACCUGAAUGACAAAAUUUCUUCCUCAAUUCCUUUUUCUUCAAGAAGAGUUAUAUUUCCAUCCCAAUUUUUAAAGCAGUGAGAAGUUGGAUUGAUGUAAACUGUAAGUGUUCUAGCUAAUUAUCUGGAAAAAAAAAUUGCCAGUUGUAAUCACUCAAGAGGGAAAGUAAGAGAUUGAAGUUCUUAAUGUUAACCAGCAUGGUCGAGCUGGUGAGACCUAUAGGAGGAUGUAAUGUAGUUAAAGUUGUGUGCAGCAUUCAAAUGAGAAAACUCACUAAGCUCAGUUUAGACUGGCUCCAUAUUAGCCUACCCUAGCUGGUUGCAUUGCCCUGUGGCUUCACUGGCUCCGUAGAAGACUUUAUACAAAGGAGCUGAUUAAUAUGAACUUGCAUAUCUAUGAAGAAUGGUUUAGAAAAUUGUCAUUUUGUCAUAGCUAAGGAAUGAAAUUCCCCAAUUUAGUGUUCCCCUUGAAACACUCCAAACCACGUGCCACUGUCUCGCUCCACACUUCCCUCUCUCCUUCCCCCUGCAGUGGGAUGGAGAGGAGAAAUUGGAGGCACAAAAGGGACAUAUCAAGGGUUGAGAUGAUAACAGUUUACUAGAAAUGAAAUUACAAUGAAAUAAGUAACAAACAGUAUCAACAACAAUAUUAAUAACAGAAUGUUAUUAAAAUUAAUAACAAAAAGUGAAGGAUUCACAUGCAAGCACUCACCACGGGGAACUUGGCGCUACUUGGACCACUCACUUCACCAUCAGCCUGACUGGAUGGAAUCCAAUCCUGCCCUGUCCCCUGCUUUGGCACGAGGUGGUAUAGAGCAACCUCGGGGUUGUGGUCAUGUCCCUCCUGCCUACUGAAGAAAUGAACCCUUUUCUGGCUGGAACCAGGACACAUGCAUAACUGCCUAACUCCUCCUUUUUCUCCAUUUCGCCUCUUCUCUUUCUUCAUGCCUUAGUUUUGUGUGAGUCCACAUGUUCUCAGAAAUACUUUUUGAUUUUAUAUCACUAAUUCCUCCCGGAUGCCCAACAAAGUUUUGGAUUCUGCUUUUCUGAUCAGUCUUGAGUCCUUUUCACUCGCAAAUAUUCUACACCUGCAAAGCAUUAAAGCUUAAAAUCUUCCUUUGUGAAUUCAUGAUGCUUAUCAUUGAUUGUGAUCAGGUUUUCUGUUUGUUUCUGCUGGGGUUUUUGUGAUUCACUGCUCCUCAUUUUGUUUGACAAUCUUUCUACACUACAUAGCCUUUCAUAGAACUUCUAAGUCCAUUGCGGUUUUUAUUUCCUAAAUGAAUUUUUCCAAUGUAGACAUUACCAGAUGAUACAGGUGCCCUACCGGAAAAAUAACAAUCUAAUUUGUAGUAGAUCUGAUGCUUCUGUUUGAUUCAUGCUCUUCACUCAAUGUCUUAAAUUGCUGUGUGUGAUAUGGACAGCAUGAGCCAGCUUUCUGGCAGAAUGGAAAACUACAGUCUGUUCCUUUUUCUUGUGAGGGGAAGGUGUUCCGAGGUAGACUAUAACUCUUUCUUGUCAGGAAAUCAGCAUAGUUUUGUUUUAUUAUUUCCCAGACCUAAUAUUCAAAAUCUGUUUCAAACAAGUAAACUAAACUGCAUAUAGCUCCUUUUAUUUCUUGUAGCAUGGCGUGGGGGAAUUGGUUAAUCUGUCUGGAGCUUUACUAAGCGUGUUGCUAGCCCAAUGUGCACAUUUUGGAAGUGUCUGUUACUGUGCUUCUGUAAACAUUGUAUAUAAGCUGUAUGUAUAAAGCUAUUUUCAGACAACUCUGCUUGCUAACAAUUAAAAUGUUUGUAGAAUGCAUUUUAUGAAGUAUUCUCUUCUAACUGUAGUCAAAGAAACAAAAGAAAUCUGUAAAUAAGAUCACAUCAGCUUUUCAUAUACUACACUGAGUUCUAUGCCAAAAUAGUUGUUAAAAUGCCAUCUGUUUCUUUUUCUGUUAUGAAAAUUUUCUUAUUUCAUGAACAUCAGUUCUUUUCUAUCUUCCCCUCCUGAGUUUUGAGAUGGUUUCUUUCAAAAAUAUUUUUUGCAAUGAUUAGUCUUUGAAAGUGAGAGAAUAGAGGAAAUUACUGUUUUCUCAGUGUAAGACAUUUAUUUUUGUGUAGACUAGAGGUAGAACAACAUAAGUCUGAUAGCAUCUUCUCACUCCACCCUGUCAAUACUAGAAAUAUUACACACACUGCUGAAUCCUGAGAUGUCAGUAUGGUUAAAAUCUCAACUGACCUGAGAUACCUCAUUUAGCAUUACACUGUGAUGUAAUAAUUAUCUUCAGCAAAGCCACUGCACUUAAAACACAGGACAAAUGUUUACAACACACCU